AUGCCUGAACAUCAGGGAGUCAGCCCGUCCCCCCUCACAGCCACCUCCACCAGCACGGGACCCCGUCUAGAGCUGGCCCCAGACGACAGCCCCUUCUCCCCAUGGGCACAGCAAGACCGGCCCUUUGCUCCCCCUGCUCCUUCCCGCUGGCUGGCCCCUGCCCUGCUCCCCAGCUCCAGGCUCUGCUGUGCCCAGCGAGAGGAGAAGGGGCGCUGUGGGGCCGCGCAUUCCCAGCCCAAGGGCCGUGCACACUCCUUAAGGAGAGAACCAGCAGGAAAAGAGGAAGAGGAUGGCAGAGGAGCGAUGACUGGAGAGGAAGGCUGCAAAUGGGCCAUCUGGGCACAAGGGAGCCAGGGAACUGGCGCACUCUUCGCAGCAGGAAAACACCAGGUGCCUGCAAGCCACUCGUGCUGCUUCUCUGCUGGGCCCAGGCUGAGUCCUCACCAGGGCGGCAGGAAAAUCCAUCCCGGCCCUGCAGCCCUGCGCACCCCAGGCCAGGCUCCCCUCCUGUCCCCGCUCUGCCCAGGAGGUACUCAGGGUACUGACGNAUUCCCAUCCACUCCCUCUAUCUAUCUAUCCCCACCAACCCCAUCUAUCUAUCUCCACCCACCCCAUCCAUCUAUCUAUUCCCAUCCACUCCUUCUAUCUAUCUAUCUAUCCCCACCAACCCCCUCUAUCUAUCUAUCGCCAUCCACCUCCUCUAUCUAUCUAUCUAUCUAUCCCCAUCCACCCCCUCUAUCUAUCUAUCUAUCCCCACCAUCCCCAUCUAUCUAUCCCCAUCCACCCCAUCUAUCUAUCUCCACCCAUCCCAUCCAUCUAUCUAUCCCCAUCCACCCCCUCUAUCUAUCUAUCUAUCCCCACCAUCCCCAUCUAUCUAUCCCCAUCCACCCCAUCUAUCUAUCUCCACCNAGGCUGCAAAUGGGCCAUCUGGGCACAAGGGAGCCAGGGAACUGGCGCACUCUUCGCAGCAGGAAAACACCAGGUGCCUGCAAGCCACUCGUGCUGCUUCUCUGCUGGGCCCAGGCUGAGUCCUCACCAGGGCGGCAGGAAAAUCCAUCCCGGCCCUGCAGCCCUGCGCACCCCAGGCCAGGCUCCCCUCCUGUCCCCGCUCUGCCCAGGAGGUACUCAGGGUACUGA
rnacentral:lncRNA from 1 species